rnacentral:rRNA from 1 species
AUACGUAGGGGGCGAGCGUUGUCCGGAAUGAUUGGGCGUAAAGGGCGCGUAGGCGGCUUUGCAAGUCAGUAGUGGAAGUCCAUUUUUCAAGGAUGGAAGUGCUACAGAAACUGCGGAGCUUGAGUGCCGGAGAGGUUAUCGGAAUUCCCGGGGUAGCGGUGAAAUGCGUAGAGAUCGGGAGGAACACCAGUGGCGAAGGCGGGUAACUGGACUGCAACUGACGCUGAGGCGCGAAAGUGUGGGGAGCAAACAGGAUUAGAUACCCUGGUAGUCCACACUGUAAACGAUGAAUGCUAGGUGUAGGAGGUAUCGACCCCUUCUGUGCCGCAGUAAACACAGUAAGCAUUCCGCCUGGGGAGUACGGUCGCAAGAUUAAAACUCAAAUGAAUUGGCGGGG